AAUAAAAUGCUAUCGAACAAAAUCCAGUAGCAAAUUAAAAAUAUUGCCAAGUGUCUCCCCUCAGAAUACAAGAAUGAUUCAAAAUUGGGAAAUCUAGUAACAUAAUUUAAAUGUAAAUUUACACAUGAGCAUUACAUCAAACCUCUUCUCUUCAGAGCAGGAGAGAAGAGGACGGAAAGUUCAUCGUCCAGCUGGGAAACUUAAGAAAGAGAGGCUGAAGACAAAGAAUUUUCCAUUGAAGGGUGAAACCAUUCAUCUGGGUGCGCCUGAUAUCAUUGUAAAUGGAAUCUCUGGAAAUGCAGCAUGAUAUGAUCUGUAGAAAACUCCUUCUGGACCAGAUGACAAUAUAUCGACUGCUAACAUCAGAGCUGGAAGAAGCAUUUAAGAAAACCAAGUCUACCAUGAACCACCUGGCUGAACUGAUACCUACAUGAUUUUGUCAAUUUAAUUUCUGGAAAGUGGUGAUAAAAAUAAGAACCUAAAAUGUUAGAGACAGUCUUCAACAUCAUGAUUUCUUUAACUUGCUGAAGUCUGGGUUUUAUUUUAUUGUUUAUUUUGCAACAGUAGAAAUAAAAAUUAACCAUGAUCAGAAAUGUAUAUUUUUAAAAUGACAAAAUAUUAAAAUCAUGAGUCAAGAAAAGCUUCAAAAAAUAAUGUAAUGCAGCUGGUGUUUUG